rnacentral:misc_RNA from 1 species
AACGCACAUUGCGCCCUUUGGCAUUCCGAAGGGCAUGCCUGUUCGAGCGUCAUUACACCCCUCAGACCCUGCCCUGUGUGGGCGGAUCUGGCGUUGGGCGGUGCCGGAAGGCACGCCUAAAAGUCAGCGACGGCAUCCUCGACCGCAAGCGCACAACUGUCGCGAUGCAGGGCGGGCGGUGCUGGUACACCCCUAAAUGUUGACCUCGGAUCAGGUAGGAUUACCCGCUGAACUUAA